CCAUGCCCAGUGUCUCAGACCACUUCCUGUUGCCUGAAUAUCAAGAUAUAAAACUCAGCUCUCAGGGACGGUGGAUGGUGGAGGAUGCUCCGAGGUCUCUGGUGUUCGUUUUUUUUGGGUCCCUUUGUUGCAGGAAACUCAUGCAGGACGAGAAGAAAACUAAAAUUUAAGAACAACAAAAAUCAGGCUGGCGCGGGGCGGAGCAGGCGUGGAUCCUGCUGCGCAAGCCCGACCUGAGUCCCACCCGGAGGACCCGCGUCAGGGCAGAGGCAGAAGGCACACUCCACAGAAGUAUCCUCUGACCGCCACGUCGAUCCGCCGCGCACAUAGAACUCAACCGACCCAAAGACAUCUCCGUGCACACCCUGCACGCAGGCACGCAGGCACGCACGCACGCACGCACGCACGCACUCCCUCGUCAGCACUGCGGAGGCGUCCGUGCAGCCCGGGGCUGCUCCGGGCUCCCCCUCCCCGACGGCCGGGCCGCUGCUGGUGCUCUGCCUCCCUCUAGUGGCCGUGUGCAAACGCUGCUGCGAACCCGGAGGUCCUGGACUUCCCUACCCCAGGGGCCCCGCAUUAAUUCUGCGCCGACUGGGUGCGCGGUGCAGGGUCACCCCCCUCCCCAACACACCCCGAGGGUGGAGCGCAGUCACCGCUCCUCGCAGAGAAGGAAACUGAGUCUGGGAGGAAGCAGUCAGUUCUGGGUGGCAGGGUUGGCGCUUUGUCCUGGCCUUGGCCCGCGCUCGCAGAUCGGGGACAGGAAGUGGGAGGGCCGUAUCCAGCUCAGCCUGAAGCCGAGCUUACUGUAACUUUUUGGUCACAAGAACCAGUAAAUCCUGGUUCCGCCAAA